rnacentral:rRNA from 1 species
CCUACGGGAGACAGCAGUGAGGAAUAUUGGUCAAUGGACGAGAGUCUGAACCAGCCAAGUAGCGUGAAGGAUGACUGCCCUAUGGGUUGUAAACUUCUUUUAUAUGGGAAUAAAAUGUUCCACGUGUGGGAUUUUGUAUGUACUAUAUGAAUAAGGAUCGGCUAACUCCGUGCCAGCAGCCGCGGUAAUACGGAGGAUCCGAGCGUUAUCCGGAUGUAUUGGGUUUAAAGGGAGCGUAGGUGGAUUGUAAAGUCAGUUGUGAAAGUUUGCGGCUCAACCGUAAAAUUGCAGUUGAAACUGGCAGUCUUGAGUACAGUAGAGGUGAGCGGAAUUCGUGGUGUAGCGGUGAAAUGCUUAGAUAUCACGAAGAACUCCGAUUGCGAAGGCAGCUCACUGGACUGCAACUGACACUGAGGCUCGAAAGUGUGGGUAUCAAACAGGAUUAGAUACCCCUGUAGUC